rnacentral:rRNA from 1 species
GAUGAACGCUAGCGAUAGGCUUAACACAUGCAAGUCGAGGGGCAGCAUGGUCUUAGCUUGCUAAGGCUGAUGGCGACCGGCGCACGGGUGCGUAACGCGUAUGCAACUUGCCUCACAGAGGGGGAUAACCCGUCGAAAGACGGACUAAUACCGCGUACACUCUAUGUUGGGCAUCCAAUGUAGAGGAACUGAAAUUCGCUGUGAGAUAGGCAUGCGUCCCAUUAGCUAGUUGGUGAGGUAACGGCUCACCAAGGCGACGAUGGGUAGGGGAACUGAGAGGUUGAACCCCCACAAUGGUACUGAGACACGGACCAGACUCCUACGGGAGGCAGCAGUGAGGAAUAUUGGGCAAUGGGCGAGAGCCUGAACCAGCCAAGUCGCGUGAAGGAUGACUGUCUUAUGGAUUGUAAACUUCUUUUAGACGGGAAGAACAAGAGUCACGUGUGGCUCCCUGCAUGUACCGUAUGAAUAAGCAUCGGCUAACUCCGUG